rnacentral:rRNA from 1 species
UACAGAGGUCCCAAGCGUUGUUCGGAUUCAUUGGGCGUAAAGCGUGUGUAGGCGGAUUGGUAAGUACUUUGUGAAAUCCCACGGCUUAACCGUGGAACUGCUUGGUAUACUGCCAGUCUUGAGCCAGCUAGGGGCUACCGGAACAAAUGGUGGAGCGGUGAAAUGCGUAGAUAUCAUUUGGAACGCCGAUGGUGAAAACAGGUAGCUGGGGCUGUGCUGACGCUGAGACACGAAAGCCAGGGGAGCAAACGGG